rnacentral:rRNA from 1 species
UGGGGAAUAUUGCACAAUGGGCGCAAGCCUGAUGCAGCCAUGCCGCGUGUGUGAAGAAGGCCUUCGGGUUGUAAAGCACUUUCAGCGAGGAGGAAGGGUAGUGUGUUAAUAGCACAUUGCAUUGACGUUACUCGCAGAAGAAGCACCGGCUAACUCCGUGCCAGCAGCCGCGGUAAUACGGAGGGUGCAAGCGUUAAUCGGAAUUACUGGGCGUAAAGCGCACGCAGGCGGUUUGUUAAGUCAGAUGUGAAAUCCCCGCGCUUAACGUG